GACGAACGCUGGCGGCGUGCUUAACACAUGCAAGUCGAACGAAGAGCGAUGGAAGCUUGCUUCUAUCAAUCUUAGUGGCGAACGGGUGAGUAACGCGUAAUCAACCUGCCCUUCAGAGGGGGACAACAGUUGGAAACGACUGCUGAUACCGCAUACGAUCUAACCUCGGCAUCGAGGAAAGAUGAAAGGUGGCCUCUAUGUAUAAGCUAUCACUGAAGGAGGGGAUUGCGUCUGAUUAGCUAGUUGGAGGGGUAACGGCCCACCAAGGCGAUGAUCAGUAGCCGGUCUGAGAGGAUGAACGGCCACAUUGGGACUGAGACACGGCCCAGACUCCUACGGGAGGCAGCAGUGGGGAAUCUUCCGCAAUGGACGAAAGUCUGACGGAGCAACGCCGCGUGAGUGAUGACGGCCUUCGGGUUGUAAAGCUCUGUUAAUCGGGACGAAAGGCCUUCUUGCGAAUAGUGAGAAGGAUUGACGGUACCGGAAUAGAAAGCCACGGCUAACUACGUG
rnacentral:rRNA from 1 species